AACCGCCGUAUACGGAUCCGUACGUACGGUGGUGUGAGAAGUCGGCUACUCAACUAAUGCGUAGCCUCUUACUCGAU
rfam:Sporomusa sphaeroides DSM 2875 SPSPH_contig000005, whole genome shotgun sequence.